GGCAGUUCUUGGGUGACACACCCCGGAAUUGGGCUCCCUUCUCCUCUGGUUCCGGGUGCGUCACCCAAGAACCGCA
rfam:Myotis davidii contig151947, whole genome shotgun sequence.